ensembl:snRNA U1 U1 spliceosomal RNA
ACUCAUGCCAGGUCAGGGGAGAUACCAUGAUUAUGAAGGUGGUUUUCCCAGGUUGAGGCUCAUCUAUUGCCUCUGGGUGGGCUGAUUUCCCCAAAUGUGGGAAACUCAACUGCAUGAUUUGUGGUAGUGGGGGACGGUGUUCGCACUUUCCCCUG